rnacentral:lncRNA from 1 species
GUUGGAGUGAAUUCCAGUUGCCUAUCUCAGAUGUUGUAAUGUGGUUCAAGAAAGGACCUGAAGAAAAGACGCCGAGAUUGUCUUCUGUGCUUCGAAAAAUGGUAUAAGAAGGGGAAGCUGGUGAGAGAGAAUUUGAAAAUAAAUAGUUGGAUGUACCUGCUGCUGGGUGUCACCUCAGGGAUGUGUGCAGCACCUGUUACCUCUGGACUGGCUUUAUGGUGAUAUAAAAUCCCGUUCUGUGACAUGUGGCUGGUGUUAUUCACUUUGUAAUUCUUUGGGGAAGCAUUCGUUUGCUGGGGACCAAAUAGAUGUUUGGCCUUCUCCAAGGCCAUCCUGCAGACAUAUAUGGUAGCAAACACUCAGCAAAAAGAUAUUUAUUUGAUUUUUUUUGCUUUCUAUGUUUUUCAAAACUGCAAGGAGAAGAAGAAAAUAAACAAACACAGGUCUCUGCCUUGAGGUCCUAAAAGCUGCAAAUGAGACCUAUCUUAUGAGGAAAUAAAAAAGAGAU